rnacentral:lncRNA from 1 species
AAAAAGAGAGGCUGAGAGGCUGAGGAAAGACUGAAAGAGAGCUCUUAGUCCAGCUGGAGUCAAUGAAGAGAGAGAGUCAUUGCCAGAGAGUGAUAAAGGGUGCAGCCACCUUCACCCGCAGCUAACUCAAACUGUGUUGAAAUGGGGAUUGAUGCCGUGAUGGAAACAAUCAAGUGGAGCGGCUCACACUGCAGCCGAUUUCAAAGGCAUUCCUUUUCCAGGCCAUCAGCCGCUGCAGCCACACGGGAAGCGUUUCCUGAUUUUACCACUACUGAGCAGCAGCCUGAUGGUGUUUAUGUAUUCAGGACCCCACCGGUGAGGAGACCUGCUGCCCCAGCACACCAGAAGCGCCAUCAGGAGGAACUGGUACAAUUGACAAUGGAGCUGUUCACAGCACUGGGGCUGUGAGUCCAUCAAGCAUCCUCUCUAUUAUGUUUAUUGCUCAUUACUCAGUUUUAAAGAGGCCCUUUUUUAUCCCGGAGAAUUUAACUGAAAUAUUGGCUUUUCUGAUAUUUUUCUUGCUCAGCAAAAAUAACAUCAGGUUUGAAUGACAUCAGCGGGUCCAAGAGUUCGCUGGUGAUGUUGAUGUUAGAACGGUGCUACUUAUAACAGCUUAUAAACUGCUACACCACAGACUGACAAACAUUUACCCCUUCUUACACUAACAGAAGCUGCCAUGUCAUUCUGUGUCCCAUUUUUAGCUCUGUUCAGAGCCCCUCAUCUUAUACUUUGAUUGCAUAUUAUCUGAGUCUGAAAACAUAUACUUUUUGUUUGUGGUUUCCAGCUGAGAUAGUAGCACUGCAAGUAAGUUUACCUCAAAACUUCAGCCUGACAUCGUAGCUCUAGCGCUAAGCCAGAGAUGUUCCAAACUUUUCCACGGCAAAUGGAUGUCAAACACAAAUGGGAUUUAGUUGAUCCUGUGAGAAAGUGAGAAUGGGAAUCAGAAAAACUAUAUCAAAAGGUUUAUAUAUGUAUAUGUAUGCAUAUAUAUAUGUUAAAACAUGAAAAACAACUUGUCUUAUAGUCUAGGUUAGUAUGAGAAGACCCAUCUAUACAGACUGUAUCAGGAAGUUUUCUUUACAGGUAAAAUAUAUUGUGAACUUUCAGGCUGGUUUUGCAGUGAGAUGUAGGAUUUUGGAGCCAGCCUUGACAAAAGAGCAUCAUAAAUAGUUAGCAGUAUUGUUUACAAACUUCUUUCUUAAUUGUUCCACAAAAGCUCUACUAGAUGGGAAGAGCAGUGGUCUCGACAUCAGUAGUGAAAAGACAGACAUUUUCACAGAUAUUUUCAAAAUCCAUUCAUAACUAAAACCUGCUGGGUUUUGUUCAUGCUGGGGCAUGUUCAACUGAUAAGGACAAAAUAUUUUUUAUAGUAAGUCAGGAGGAUAUUAAAAAACGUCUAUCAAAAGCAGACAUUUUAAAAGUUGGUGUGUCCAAAUAGCUCACAUUCAAAGUUUUUAAAGACAACUUGUGAAAUAACUCUCUGGGCCAUUAGUGUUGAUUUCCAACCCAGUGCGGAACACUAGAAAAAUUGUAGGGAGCUGAAAGACAGCUAAUUUUGUGUUAAUAUUUUAAAAGGGCAAAUACAACAACCUAGGUAAUUAUAACCCUGUCACACUGAUAUUGAUCCUAACCAAAAUAUCUGGCUGAAACAGGACUUGAUUAAUAAAUUAAAAGAGGUUAAUAUAAUUAAUGCCAAUCAGCAUGGGUUUGCGUCAAGCUAAAGUGGUAUCUUUUAUGAUGAAAUUAUAAGUUUAGUUAAAAAGAGAAAAAUAGAGAAUUCAUAUAGACCUCUUAAUGACAUUAAUUUGAUGAUCCCUGAUUUAUUUAUUCAUUAGCUAAGAAAUGAUGGUGAUGUAAAUACAGCAUAGGACAUAUCAAUAAAACUAUCCGACUGAAAGGUCUACAGACUUACUUGUAAGUAGACACACAUCCUCGAGAAUGUGGGGUGGGUUUUUAUUUGUUUGUUGGCUUUGUGUUAUUUUUCUUUGGUUUUGCAUCCUCCGUGUAAUUUGCACAUACACACUGGCAUAUGUGAGUCCAUCAGAGUAAGUAACUAAUGAGGAAAACAAAAUGGUACAAGACACCUCAUAAUGUAACUAUAAACUUUGAUCUUAAAUACAUAAAUAUUGGUUGUAGCAUCUUCUAGAAUAAUUACCAUUUCCAGCAUACAAUCUCAAACAUUCUCAGUAGUUAAAAAAAUAAAAGUCAAAAAAAGGAGAGAAAUAUCCAUGAAUCAUCAGCUAAGUUCCAGUUUCCAGUAUGAUUCUCUCCUAUAAAUGGCAGAUAGUCACUGGAUACCAAAAUAAUACGUUCAUAUAAAGUAGGGAGGCUCUAUUAACUCUGUGCUUGAAAAUGGUGCUGGUGUAGGUGGAAUGCUGCUUUCCUUACUAAG